rnacentral:rRNA from 1 species
UACGGGGGGGGCAAGCGUUGUUCGGAAUUACUGGGCGUAAAGGGCCAGUAGGCGGCCAACUAAGUCCGACGUGAAAUCCCCAGGCUUAACCUGGGAACUGCGUCGGAUACUGGAUGGCUUGAAUUCGGGAGAGGGAUGCAGAAUUCCGGGUGUAGCGGUGGAAUGCGUAGAGAUCCGGAGGAAGACCGGUGGCGAAGGCGGUCUGCUGGGCAGUUUCUGACACUGAUGCGCGACAGCGUGGGGAGCAAACAGG